rnacentral:rRNA from 1 species
AGUGAACGCUGGCGGUAGGCCUAACACAUGCAAGUCGAACGGCACCACAGUAAGAGCUUGCUCUUACGGGUGGCGAGUCGCGUACGGGUGAGGAAUACAUCGGAAUCUACUUUUUCGUGGGGGAUAACGUAGGUAAACUUACGCUAAUACCGCAUACGACCUACGGGUGAAAGCAGGGGAUCUUCGCACCUUGCGCGAUUGAAUGAGCCGAUUUCGGAUUAGCUAGUUGGCGGGGUAAAUGCCCACGCAUGCGACGAUCCGUAGCUGGUCUGAGAGGAUGGUCAGCCACACUGGAGCUGUGACACGGUCCAGACUCCUAAGGGAGGCCGCAGUGGGGAAUAUUGGACAAUGGGCGCAAGCCUGAUCCAGCCAUACAGAGUGGGUGAAGAAGGCCUUCGGGUUGUAAAGCCCUUUUGUUGGGAAAGAAAAGCAGCAGGUUAAUACCCCGCUGUUCUGACGGUAGCAAAAGAAUAAGCACCGGCUAACUUCGUG